UUACUGGAAAAUAAAAUAUUAAAGUAAAAAGGACAAGAUAGAGAAGGAAAUUUUACUUCAUCAUGUAUGUUGUUACAUUCAAAACCAAUUAUAGAUAACAGAUCCCUCUAACAAGUACACGUUGACACUAAUCCUAAAAAACUACUAACAAACAAACAACUCUUUCGAAUUUUGAUUCUCAUGUAAUAGCAUUCAUGGAUAUACACCAACUAGAUUAAAUGACUAGCUUAGAGCAUAAACUAAAUUAACUUCAAAUCCUUUCAAUACUUUUGCAACUUUCCUUGCACAAGCUUCACAGUGCAUAUCAACCUUGAGUACUAUCUCUGCAGGUUCUUCAUCUUUUUUCUCUUCUUCCUUCUUUUACUCCGUGGUUUGUUCUUUCUUUUCUUCUUCCUUGUUCUUAGAACAUAAAUUAAAAAUAGCAAAGAUGUGAGUGAAAAUGGAUUUCCAUAUGGCUAACAUGUCAUGCAUUACAUCAUAAUAAUGCCACCAUCACAUAACAGACACUGUAAAAUAUCACAAAAGUUAGAGAAUAUAAAUGAUUCUAGUCUUAUAGUUAAGUUAGUUUUCAAAACAAAAGUUGUUGAAAAAAAAAAGUGCACAAGAAUUUUUCUGUAAGAGAGAACUCUUCCUUCACCCAUUUGUGUGAUAAUGGACAAUGAUCUCUAAUUCAGAAAUGUUGCAGUCGUGUGUAAUAUAUAUUGGAGGUAGCAAUUGAUGCUUUUCUCUUGUUUUGGUUUUUCUCACUUAUCUUUCCUUGCUUGAACUCUUUGUCUACGCAUCUUACAUAUUCAGCAAAUUCAAAACACGAAUUAAGCAUCAAUGCAAAGAAUAAAAAAAUUGUUUUUACUAUAAUUUUGUCACACAAUUGGCACUCAUUGUUAAUGCAUCAAAAUUAUUUAACAAUCACAAUAUUUGCUCCCGCAACAAUUCAAUUCACUGAAACUAUUGCUUCCAUCACCGUAAUUGUUGUUUCCAAACUCCCCACAAAAUAAAUUGCAAUUAAACAACAAAUGUGAAAAAAUGAAGAAUUACAUUCCAAAUAUGACAAGUGCCAAAUUUUAGUAAUAUUUCAUAUUGAAAUAUAGGCACUUAUGGGUAUUAAUUGCUAAAAUAAGUAUAAAAUAAUUCCUAAUUUAUGAAAUUAUAUAUUUUUACAUGUUUUAUUAAAUGAGAACGAUUUAUUUCCAAAUUCGUGUUAAUUUCAGGUGUCUAGGAAAGUAUGGAGAGAAUUGGACAAAAGGAAAAUAUACAAAACUAAACAGAGAAAGCUGAAAUGCAUCAACACUCACCAAGCUGCCCAAACUCACAAAAAAGCUAAGAUGCCACCAGUGGAUCUUGCUCAAGCGAGCUCAAUCUCGCUUGAGCGAGAUAGUGCCAGAAAAGUUGGGCCUUUUUACUUUUUACUCGCCAAGCAAACCCAUUAGCGCCCAAGCGAGAAGUCACUUCUUAAGUCAAUGAAAAUUAGGUUAAAUAGGGGGCUUGAGGCACAUCCUUAGGGUGCAAGAUUGAGAGGAAAACAUCAUUGAGUGACCUGAGACCCAAUUGGGAGAAUAGAAGAUAUUAGAAGAUGUGUGGUCAAUUCUACCAUUUGAGAUUGAGAGUAAUCUGUUCAAAUUUUUAUUAUUUAGUUGAUAUUUAAACAUAAUAUUAUGUUCUUUAUUGAUAAUUGAUAUUAUUGUUUUGUAUAAUUUUUUUAUGAUUCUAACCUAAAUAAUAAUAAUAAUACUUAACAUAUUUAAGUGGUAAGAAUAGACUUGAAAUGUUAAUUGUUAUUGAUAUCGAUUCUAAGUUGUUUUUUUAAAUAUGUGAGGAAUCAAUAUAAAAAAUCAAUAUCAAUGAUUUUUAUACGAACAUUAAUAUGAAAUCCAGUCCCUAUUUUUCUAAUUAAAACAACAAUUUUUUACCUUGUUGACAAUGAUUAACAAAUUCCAACAAUUUUUUAUUAUUUUGUUUUAUUUCAAACAAAUAUUUUAUUUAAAUAUUUAACAGUUUUUGGUGAAUUCGAUAUUUAUCCUUAAAAAAGACAUUAUUACUUUUAUACACUUAUCGUAAAAAGUCAUCAAAAUACACAAAUAAUCACACUCAUCUUGAACACUUCCACUGAAUCACCAACGAUUCACUCAAAAUUUUCCAAAAAUCACCAAAAUUAAUUUGCAGUGACUUACCGCUUCAAAUGAAGAAGAAUUGAAGAUACUUUGUGAUUUUUUUUUAGAUCAAUCUAUGCUUCAAUUCACAGAAAAUCUUCAAUUUACAACACCGAAUGGAUCAAAAGUCACUGUUUCACCAAUUUGAUUUUCAAAUUCUCCUUCCGAAACAUGUCAACGAUUUGCUGAAUCACCUAAUGAUUUUUUCUCUCUACGGUUCCAAUCUCCUCACCGCAAUCGCUCAACACAGUUCUUCGUUUAAAGCAACAAGUUCAAAGAUGAAUUUUCCAGUGAGAAGAAAAAAAACAACAAACAGAACACAGAAAACGAAUUUUUAGAAUCGGAAAUGAAAACGAAAGAAGGAACUUACAUGAAUCAAUUCAUACGAAACACUACAGUUCUUCUUUGGUUUGUGUUCGCUCAAUCUCAAAUUUACCAACAAAUCGCUUCAAAUUCAGUUCCAAUUUCAAAACCUAAAUACAAGGCACUAUUAUGGUGGUCUUCUUCGUUAACUGGUUUCGCCGAAGUAUUGCAACUCCUCCGUUAGCAAUUCUUCCAACACCGUACUGUUUUCCGCUAACGUUUUCAAAAUCACUCCAAGAAAAAUGAAUAACAGAGAUCCAAUUGAUUCAUUUGUAAAAAAAAUUCAAAACAGAAUGACAUUGCUCUUUACACCACAGAAAUCAUUUUCCACAACAGUUUUCAGGAUUUUGCAAAAAC
rnacentral:lncRNA from 1 species